rnacentral:rRNA from 1 species
CCUACGGGUGGCAGCAGUGGGGAAUAUUGCACAAUGGGGGAAACCCUGAUGCAGCGACGCCGCGUGAGGGAAGAAGUAUUUCGGUACGUAAAGCCCUAUCAGCAGGGAAGAAAAUGACGGUACCUGACUAAGAAGCCCCGGCUAACGAAGUGCCAGCAGCCGCGGUAAUACGUAGGGGGCAAGCGUUAUCCGGAUUUACUGGGUGUAAAGGGAGCGUAGACGGCAGCGCAAGUCUGGAGGGAAAACCCAGGGCUUAACCAUGGAACUGCUUUUGAAACUGUGCAGCUAGAGUGCAGGAGAGGUAAGCGGAAUUCCUGGUGUAGCGGUGAAAUGCGGAGAUAUUAGGAGGAACACCAGUGGCGAAGGCGGCUUACUGGACUGUAACUGACGUUGAGGCUCGAAAGCGUGGGGAGCAAACAGGAUUAGAUACCCGAGUAGUC